rnacentral:lncRNA from 1 species
AUGCAGGUGAGGCUUUGGAUAGUCACAAAGAAAAAAAACAAACUCAAUAGAGAGGAGCAGGAAGUAGCGUCAAUGUCUAUCCUCCUUUCUUCUCUCUUUUCUUUCCUUUUUCUUUUGAGUUAGUGAAUAAGUUUACUAGGGUGUUUUGAAUAAGAAGCCCCUUGUGGUGAUUUCUUCUAAGCUAUGCUCAAUUUGAAGUUCUCCAUCACCUCUUUUGGAUUAA